rnacentral:ncRNA from 3 species
UACGGAGGGUGCGAGCGUUAAUCGGAAUUACUGGGCGUAAAGCGCGCGUAGGCGGUUUGUUAAGUCAGCUGUGAAAGCCCCGGGCUUAACCUGGGAACUGCAGUUGAUACUGGCCGACUAGAGUACGAGAGAGGGAGGUAGAAUUCCAUGUGUAGCGGUGAAAUGCGUAGAUAUAUGGAGGAAUACCGGUGGCGAAGGCGGCCUCCUGGCUCGAUACUGACGCUGAGGUGCGAAAGCGUGGGGAUCAAACAGG